rnacentral:rRNA from 1 species
AAUGAACGUUGGCGGCGUGGAUUAGGCAUGCAAGUCGUGCGAGAAGUCUUUUGCUUGCAUUAGACGGAAAGCGGCGAAAGGGAGAGUAACGCGUGGGUACCUACCUCUAGGUUCGGGAUAGCUGCGGGAAACUGUGGGUAAUACCGAAUAACAUCUCCGGAUCAAAGGUGUGAUUCCGCCUGGAGACGGGCCCGCGUCCUAUUAGCUUGUUGGUGGGGUAAUGGCUUACCAAGGCAAUGAUGGGUAUCGGGCGUGAGAGGGUGACCCGACUCACUGGGACUGAGACACUGCCCAGACACCUACGGGUGGCUGCAGUCGAGAAUCAUAGGCAAUGGGCGCAAGCCUGACCGAGCGACGCCGCGUGCGGGAUGAAGGCCCUCGGGUUGUAAACCGCUGUCAGUUGGGAGGAAAUCACAUGGGGUUCUCUCCAUGUGUUGACCUAUCUUCAGAGGAAGGACGGGCUAAGUUCGUGCCAGCAGCCGCGGUAA